UACGAAGGGGGCUAGCGUUGCUCGGAAUUACUGGGCGUAAAGCGCACGUAGGCGGCUUUCUAAGUCGGGGGUGAAAUCCUGGAGCUCAACUCCAGAACUGCCUUUGAUACUGGAGAGCUUGAGUCCGGGAGAGGUGAGUGGAACUCCGAGUGUAGAGGUGAAAUUCGUAGAUAUUCGGAAGAACACCAGUGGCGAAGGCGGCUCACUGGCCCGGUACUGACGCUGAUGUGCGAAAGCGUGGGGAGCAAACAGG
rnacentral:rRNA from 1 species